UACGAAGGGGGCUAGCGUUGCUCGGAAUCACUGGGCGUAAAGCGCACGUAGGCGGACUCUUAAGUCGGUGGUGAAAUCCUGGAGCUCAACUCCAGAACUGCCUUUGAUACUGGGGAUCUCGAGUCCGGAAGAGGUGAGUGGAACUCCGAGUGUAGAGGUGAAAUUCGUAGAUAUUCGGAAGAACACCAGUGGCGAAGGCGGCUCACUGGUCCGGUACUGACGCUGAGGUGCGAAAGCGUGGGGAGCAAACAGG
rnacentral:rRNA from 1 species